CUCUUUUCCAAACACAACAAACUCACCGCCACACACUGCCCUUCCUGCGACCUUGAAUCCAGAGACCACCAGGCCCAAAAGCCACCUGGAGGAUUUCACUACUGUCUCUGUGGUGGUCAGAAGGGCUGAGAGCAGAACGCAGGAGCCAGAAGACAAUGUCAGAACCCCUUGGAACUGGAGUUACAGACAGGUAGGGAAUCCACAACAGACCAAAGCAUGGAUACGCCCCAAGUCCAACGUGGUGAACCGAUGAAUCUCCAAAGCACAACCUAGACACAGGUGACAUCUCUGGGAACCUGAGCACAAGACACAGCUUCAGCGAGCUCAGCAGGUUGGUCACAGACCAGACAACAAAAGGUUCAUCCUCCUGCCUGACCAUCAUCCAUCCAUCAGCAAGACCAUGCUCCAGUUUGGACUUCCUGGAUUCUGCAGCUUCAUGCAGGAGUUAGAGCAUGUGAGGAGAUCAGCUCGGGUCCAUAGCUGGGCCCACCCACCUGCUUCUCUUCCUGUCCUCAGUGUCACAACAAUACAGGAUUCAGUCGUGAGGAUACCCCAGCCCAUCUGCUCAUUGCUCCACACAGCUACUGCCUCCAGAAGUUGAACACCUGUGACAGAGCCAAUUAUCUAGGGAUAGAGGAGCCAAGAGGCUUGGGUUGCCCUUGAGGCUGUAUUUGGGCC
rnacentral:lncRNA from 1 species